GACGAACGCUGGCGGCGUGCUUAACACAUGCAAGUCGAACGAUGAAGCCGGAGCUUGCUCUGGUGAAUUAGUGGCGAACGGGUGAGUAACACGUGAGUAACCUGCCCUUGACUCUGGGAUAACUGCGGGAAACUGUAGCUAAUACCGGAUACGACCCUCGGAGGCAUCUCCUGGGGGUGGAAAGAAUUUCGGUCAAGGAUGGACUCGCGGCCUAUCAGCUAGUUGGUGAGGUAAAGGCUCACCAAGGCCACGACGGGUAGCCGGCCUGAGAGGGUGACCGGCCACACGGGGACUGAGACACGGACCAGACUCCUACGGGAGGCAGCAGUCGGGAAUAUUGCACAAUGGGCGCGAGCCGGAUGCAGCCACGCCGCGUGAGGGAUGACGGCCUUCGGGUUGUAAACCUCUUUUAGCAGGGAAGAAGCGAAAGUGACGGUACCUGCAGAAAAAGCACCGGCUAACUACGUGCCAGCCGCCGCUGUAA
rnacentral:rRNA from 1 species